rnacentral:rRNA from 1 species
UGAGGAAUAUUGGUCAAUGGCCGGAAGGCUGAACCAGCCAAGUCGCGUGAGGGAAUGAGGCCCUACGGGUCGUGAACCUCUUUUGCCGGGGAGCAAGGCCCUCCACGUGUGGAGGGAAGGAGAGUACCCGGAGAAAAAGCAUCGGCUAACUCCGUGCCAGCAGCCGCGGUAAUA